rnacentral:rRNA from 1 species
GGAGCAUGUGGCUUAAUUUGACUCAACGCGGGAAAUCUUACCGGGUCCGGACACACUGAGGAUUGACAGAUAUAUACCCGUGAGUACUUCGGUGCUCGCGGGUUGAAAGAUGCUAGUUCUUUCAUGAUUAUGUGAUAGGUGGUGCAUGGCCGUUCUUAGUUCGUGGAGUGAUCUGUCUGCUUAAUUGCGUAUCAAUAAUAGAGACCUAGUAUACGCGUAGACUCAUGCGGUAGUGACCCCCCUUCACAGGGCGCGUGUCGCACGUAUGUUAUACGCACAGGUCUCCGAUAGCAACGAACGUGACCGUACUCUAUUGUUGCAGCGACAAUACCUUUCAACGGGUAUUACCGCUGCUUAGCAAGAUUCGUCUUGCAUUAAACUAUAGAGACCGCUGUUUCUUCUUUAAACCAGAGGAAGGAUACGGCAAUAACAGGUCUGU